rnacentral:misc_RNA from 1 species
GAAAGCGUAGCCUUUAGGUUUACCUGUCACUUUGUCCGUAAUCAAUCGGACCUGCAAAACACAAAAAGUUACAAUACGAGAAGUUAUAUUGCAGAAGAAUAGUUCAAUAUCACUAUUCAUUGUAGAUUCUUGAUUCUCUAUAAAGAUUUUCUUAGUUUAUAGCUAGAUAAGUACUGAAAGAAAGUUUAUUAUAAGCUAAUCCUAUUGGCA